rnacentral:rRNA from 1 species
UACGAAGGGGGCUAGCGUUGCUCGGAAUCACUGGGCGUAAAGCGCACGUAGGCGGAUUUCUAAGUCAGGGGUGAAAUCCUGGAGCUCAACUCCAGAACUGCCUUUGAUACUGGGAAUCUCGAGUCCGGGAGAGGUGAGUGGAACUGCGAGUGUAGAGGUGAAAUGCGUAGAUAUUGGGAGGAACACCAGUGGCGAAGGCGGCUCACUGGACCGGAACUGACGCUGAGGCGCGAAAGCGUGGGGAGCAAACAGG